rnacentral:lncRNA from 1 species
CCAGGAGCUGGCCGGACAGCUUGGGCGAACAGAUCUCCCGAGGAUGAGAUCUCCAUAAUUCCCUGUGGAAAAGUCUUUUCACAGUCUGAUGCCCUGUGUGUGCUGGUUCUUCUGUGACCUUGACAGGUCUGGCGGUGACAGCUAAAACCCUGCUUUACUUUGUCAACACUGAGAUUCACUCCUACAUUAUAAAACAAGUCUGGGGGUUGUCACUAUAUUCCACGCCACUGCAUCUGAUCUCGUCUGACAAAGGGGCAUGAGAUGGUUGUAUUCAUCUCAUGAAUACCCUGUUAGAGGUUUUUCAGCAGACACAGUCUGGGCUGUUUGCUUCUAUUCACCACACGUUGGGCUCCUAAGAGAGGACAGCACUACUUAGAAGAGCUUUUAAGAAACCAAAUUCACUAGGACACUGAUUCCUAUUGCAGUAGGUCAGCACGUCUCCAGCUGUACUCUGAUUUCCAGUAAUAGACCUAAUCUUCUAAAUCAAUAAGUGAUUGCAGCCAGAACACCUGCACCAUUACACCAGGUAAGUCCAACCUCACCUCCUUUCUAUGCUUACCUUUGGGUCGGUCAAAUUGUUGCUGAAAGGGCCCUCAGGAAAGGGUUAAGCAUAUUAAUGAACUUGUGUGUUUAAUGAAAUGGAGAUAGUGUACUUAAAAUACUGAAAGGAAAUUUAAAACAG